rnacentral:SRP_RNA from 1 species
GCCAGAUGUGGUGGCUCACAUCUGUAAUCCUAGCAUUUUGGGAGGCCAAGACAGGAGGAUCGCUUGAGCCCAGGAGUUUGCGACCAGCCUGGGCAACACAGUGAGAUCCUGUCUAUA